rnacentral:rRNA from 1 species
GAUCAACGCUGGCGGCGUGCAUAACACAUGCAAGUCGAACGAUGAAACUUAACUGAUUUCUUCGGAAUGAUUUUAAGUGGAUUAGUGGCGGACGGGUGAGUAACGCGUGAGUAACCUGCCUUGCACAAGGGGAUAGCCGUUGGAAACGACGAAUAAUACCCUAUGAUAUAAACUCUUCGCAUGAAGAGCUUAUCAAAGAUUUAUCGGUGUAAGAUGGACUCGCGUCUGAUUAGCUAGUUGGUGGGGUAACAGCCUACCAAGGCAACGAUCAGUAGCCGGCUUGAGAGAGUGUACGGCCACAUUGGGACUGAGACACGGCCCAGACUCCUACGGGAGGCAGCAGUGGGGAAUUGUGCACAAUGGGGGCAACCCUGAUGCAGCGACGCCGCGUGAUUUAGAAGGCCUUCGGGUUGUAAAAAUCUUUUGUAUGGGAAGAAAAUGACAGUACCAUACGAAUAAGGACCGGCUAAUUACGUG